CCUAACACAUGCAAGUCGAACGAGUCUCUUCGGAGCUAGUGGCGCACGGGUGCGUAACGCGUGGGAACCUGCCCUUAGGUUCGGAAUAACUCUCCGAAAGGAGUGCUAAUACCGGAUAAUGUCUUCGGACCAAAGAUUUAUCGCCUUUGGAUGGGCCCGCGUUGGAUUAGCUAGUUGGUGAGGUAAAGGCUCACCAAGGCGACGAUCCAUAGCUGGUCUUAGAGGAUGAUCAGCCACACUGGGACUGAGACACGGCCCAGACUCCUACGGGAGGCAGCAGUGGGGAAUAUUGGACAAUGGGCGCAAGCCUGAUCCAGCAAUGCCGCGUGAGUGAUGAAGGCCUUAGGGUUGUAAAGCUCUUUUACCAGGGAUGAUAAUGACAGUACCUGGAGAAUAAGCUCCGGCUAACUCCGUGCCAGCAGCCGCGGUAAUACGGAGGGAGCUAGCGUUGUUCGGAAAUACUGGGCGUAAAGCGAACGUAGGCGGCCUAGCAAGUCAGGGGUGAAAUCCCGGGGCUCAACCCCGGAACUGCCCUUGAAACUGCUAAGCUAGAAUCCUGGAGAGGCGAGUGGAAUUCCGAGUGUA
rnacentral:rRNA from 1 species